rnacentral:rRNA from 1 species
UGGGGCCUCUUGCACAAUUUUCUCAAGCCUGCUUCCUCCAUGCCGCGUGUAUGAAGAAGGACAUCGGGUUGUAAAUAUUUAUCAGCGGGGAGGAAGGUGUUGUGGUUAAUAACCACAGCAAUUGACGUUACCCGCAGAAGAAGCACCGGCUAACUCCGUGCCAGCAGCCGCGGUAAUACGGAGGGUGCAAGCGUUAAUCGGAAUUACUGGGCGUAAAGCGCACGCAGGCGGUCUGUCAAGUCGGAUGUGAAAUCCCCGGGCUCAACCUGGGAACUGCAUCCGAAACUGGCAGGCUUGAGUCUUGUAGAGGGGGGUAGAAUUCCAGGUGUAGCGGUGAAAUGCGUAGAGAUCUGGAGGAAUACCGGUGGCGAAGGCGGCCCCCUGGACAAAGACUGACGCUCAGGUGCGAAAGCGUGGGGAGCAAACA